UACGUAGGGCGCAAGCGUUAUCCGGAAUUAUUGGCGUAAAGAGCUCGUAGGCGGUUUGUCGCGUCUGCCGUGAAAGUCCGGGCUCAACUCCGGAUCUGCGGUGGGUACGGGCAGACUAGAGUGAUGUAGGGGAGACUGGAAUUCCUGGUGUAGCGGUGAAAUGCGCAGAUAAUCAGGAGGAACACCGAUGGCGAAGGCAGGUCUCUGGGCAUUAACUGACGCUGAGGAGCGAAAGCAUGGGGAGCGAA
rnacentral:rRNA from 1 species